rnacentral:rRNA from 1 species
AGCAGCCGCGGUAAUUCCAGCUCCAAUAGCGUAUAUUAAAGUUGCUGCGGUUAAAAAGCUCGUAGUUGAAUUUCGGGACCAUCAUGUCGGUCGUGCCUCGGUACGUACUGGCAUUGUUGGUUUCUCCCUUCUGACGAACCAUGAUGUCAUUAAUUUGGUGUCAUGGGGAAUCAGGACUGUUACUUUGAAAAAAUUAGAGUGUUUAAAGCAGGCUCACGCUUGAAUACAUUAGCAUGGAAUAAUGAAAUAGGACGUUUGAUUCUAUUUUGUUGGUUUCUAGGAUCGACGUAAUGAUUAAUAGGGAUAGUUGGGGGCAUUAGUAUUCAAUUGUCAGAGGUGAAAUUCUUGGAUUUAUUGAAGACUAACUACCGCGAAAGCAUUUGCCAAGGAUGUUUUCAUUAAUCAAGAACGAAAGUUAGGGGAUCGAAGACGAUCAGAUACCGCCGUAGUCUUAACCAUAAACUAUGCCGACUAGGGACCGGGCGAUGUUGUUUCAAUGACUCGCUCGGCACCUUAUGGGAAACCAAAGUGUUUGGGUU